ACAUGCUUACAACAUAGUGUUAAUGCACCAGAUCCCAUUAGAACUCUACAGUUAAGCACGCUUGGGCUAGAGUAGUACAGGGAUGGGCAACUACCGGGGAAGUCCUAGUGUUUUACAUGCC
rfam:Picea glauca, whole genome shotgun sequence.